UAAUAAGUGUUUUAUGGCACUUUUUAAAUCCAUAUCCACCUUGUGUGCAAUGUCAGUCGAUCUUCUUCAUGGAGAUCGACCAAACAUCAACCUUUAUUUUUUAACUCUUUGUCUAAAAAAUAUUAUGAAUAAACAAUUCAAAAUA
rnacentral:misc_RNA from 1 species